CGCGAGUUUCCUUUCCCAGUUGGACAAACGCGUCUUCCUUCUUCCUCACCAAGCUGCGCAACUACAUUUGUGUUGUGUCCCAGAUCUCAUGGAUCUGUCUAUGUUAGUCGAGUCGCGUGAGCCAAGCCAACUCUUUGGUGAGUUUUUUAUGGGUUUUCACAUGGGUUAUUUAAGGAACUAAAUUUAGAUUAAAUUGGAAUAAAAAUUUAGAUUAUUUUCUUAUUGAUUUUGCUAUUGGAGAAGUAGCAUUUGAGUUAUUGGAAUUCACGUCGAGAUUGGAGUGGGUUUUAAGUCUCCAUUGCUUGGGUUGGUUCGUCUCAACCUUAGUUCAACCAAGGAAUUUUGUUAAUCUCGAGGAUUGUGUACCUUGAACAGUGUCUUACCGA